rnacentral:rRNA from 1 species
UACGAAGGGGGCUAGCGUUGCUCGGAAUUACUGGGCGUAAAGCGCACGUAGGCGGCUUUCUAAGUCGGGGGUGAAAUCCUGGAGCUCAACUCCAGAACUGCCUUCGAUACUGGAAAGCUCGAGUCCGGGAGAGGUGAGUGGAACUGCGAGUGUAGAGGUGAAAUUCGUAGAUAUUCGCAAGAACACCAGUGGCGAAGGCGGCUCACUGGCCCGAUACUGACGCUGAGGUGCGAGAGCGUGGGGAGCGAACCGG